AAACCAACAGGGAUUGCUCUAGUAACGGCGAGUGAACAAGCAAAAGCUCAGUUUUGAAAGCCUCUUCGGAGGCAUUGUAUUCUGAAGCCUAGAUUCUGGGAAACGGUACUUAAGUCUUCUGGAAAGGAGCGCCACGGAGGGUGAUAGCCCCGUACGGUACUGACCCCAUUGUAGUUUCUAGGCGUGGAGUCGAGUUGUUUGGGAAUGCAGCUCAAAUGGGAGGUAUGCUCCUUCUAAAGCUAAAUAUUUGCGAGAGACCGAUAGCGAACAAGUACUGUGAAGGAAAGAUGAAAAGAACUUUGAAAAGAGAGUGAAAUAGGACGUGAAAUUGUUGAAAUGGAAGGGUAGGCCGCUAACCAUGUAGGACCGUGUUUGAGGGGAAGAUAAAAGCUUCGGAAUGUGGCUCCUCGGAGUGUUAUAGCCGAAGUCAAUGUUCCCACUCGAGCGCGAGGAUCUCAGGUUCUACUAAAUGGUGGUCUACCACCCGUCUUAACCCC
rnacentral:rRNA from 1 species